GGGCGAUAAUUGCGCCCGGUGCGGAGCGGGCGCAUCCCGCCCCGAAAGUAUGAGGCCGCCGGACGGCGGUCCGGAGGCGAGUAGGGGCGGUUCGCCC
rnacentral:ncRNA from 1 species